UAAUACUUUAAUGUUGAUCUAUGAUAAUAAACAAACAUGCAGCCUUUUCCUGUAUGCUGAGGAUUACUUUGCCCCAAAUAGUCCAGGGGACAGUGGCCAAUAAUCAUUCAUUUGGUUUAGGUCUCCUUCGUGUUGGUCAAAUAAUUACUUGUUUUACAUUUUGUAAAAUAAAAAGUGAAUCAAGUGUAUUGGAAGUGUAUGCAGGAGAGUCUAACCCCCAUCAUCAGUAAGAACUAAGAAGCCAAUAAAUUAUUUGUACAUCGGUAAGAACUAAGAAGCCAAUAAAUUAUUUGUACAUAUUUGCUGAACUUUCUUACUUUUACAGAAUCCGAGCUAUUGGGUUCACAGAACCCAUAUCAUAUGGUAAUCCGCCCACGCUGACACUGCUGGGCAACAAUAGCAGUCCAGAAGAAAAAUACUCCACUAAAAUGGCAAAUAAAUC
rnacentral:lncRNA from 1 species